UACGUAGGCAGCGAGCGUUGUUCGGAGUUACUGGGCGUAAAGGGUGUGUAGGCGGUUGUUUAAGUUUGGUGAAAUCUCCCGGCUCAACUGGGAGGGUGCGCCGAAUACUGAAUGACUAGAGUGCGGGAGAGGAAAGUGGAAUUCCUGGUGUAGCGGUGAAAUGCGCAGAUAUCAGGAAGAACACCUAUGGCGAAGGCAGCUCUCUGGGACGGUACUGACGCUGAGACGCGAAAGCGUGGGGAGCGAACAGG
rnacentral:rRNA from 1 species